GUGCUCUCUUUGGCAGUACAUAGACUAAAAUUGGAAUGUUACAGAAAAGAUUAGCAUGGCCCCUAUGCAAGAAUGACACGCGAUUUCAUGAAGAGUUCCAUUCCUGA